GCAUCUGACCGCUGUGUGAGCAGACAAUGCUAACUGUCUUUUCCUACGGACGCGUGUGGUGUCAUGCGCGCACGGACAGCGCCAAAACUAUUGUUGGAAUGAUCUUGUGCGGAGCGUGAGUUCACAAUUUCCCAAGGAGACAGAUAUUUCCUUGAAGUUCAUGCAGCUUUUUGUUCUUGCAUGAGAGAUAGCUAUUUCAAGUCAACAUCUUUUUUUCUUGGGAGAACUGCAUAAGCAUCUCUGAG